UGCCAGCCGCCGCGGUAAUACGGAGAGUGCAAACGUUGUUCGGAAUCAUUGGGCGUAAAGCGCGCGUAGGCGGCUAGGCAGGUCGGGUGUGAAAGCCCGGGGCUCAACCCCGGAAGUGCAUUGGAAACUGGCGAACUUGAGUAUAGUAGAAGUGAGUGGAAUUCUACAUGUAGCGGUGAAAUGCAUAGAUAUGUAGAGGAACACCAAUAACGAAGGUAACUCACUAAGCUAUUACUGACGCUGAGGUACGAAAGCGUGGGGAGCAAACAGGAUUAGAUA
rnacentral:rRNA from 1 species